CGGGUGAGUAACACGUGGGUAACCUGCCUAAAAGAAGGGGAUAACACUUGGAAACAGGUGCUAAUACCGUAUAUCUCUAAAGAUCGCAUGAUCUUUAGAUGAAAGAUGGUUCUGCUAUCGCUUUUAGAUGGACCCGCGGCGUAUUAACUAGUUGGUGGGGUAACGGCCUACCAAGGUGAUGAUACGUAGCCGAACUGAGAGGUUGAUCGGCCACAUUGGGACUGAGACACGGCCCAA
rnacentral:rRNA from 1 species